UGUCCCAGUUCGGACUGGAGUCUGCAACCCGACUCCACGAAGUUGGAUUCGCUAGUAAUCGCGCAUCAGCCAUGGCGCGGUGAAUACGUUCCCGGGCCUUGUACACACCCGCCCGUCAAGCCAUGGGAGCCGGGGGCGCCUGAAGUCCGGGACCGCGAGGACCGGCCUAGGGCGAAACUGGUAACUGGGGCUAAGUCGUAACAAGGUACC
rnacentral:rRNA from 1 species